CAAAGUGUAGCUUAACCAAAGCACCCGGCUUACACCCAGGAGAUUUCAUAUUCUAAUGACCGCUUUGA
rnacentral:tRNA from 1 species